AGAAGGUGGAAUUUUGAUUGACAGAUUGAACAGCUGAAGGACACAAAAAGAAGAGAAAUACAGUACAAAAAACCAGCAACUAUCACUUGGAAAGUUGGACCAGUCAAGCCUUGGAGGACCCCUUGUCGAUCAGGCUGGGCUUCUGAGCCAGAGGAAUUUACACAGACAAAUGACAGGCACUUGAAUUGCAAAUCACUGAUCCAAGGUCUUAUAGCCUUGAAGUUCAAGUCAGAUUAUCAGUGAAUAUUAGAACACGCACAUGUGAGACGGCCUUUACAAGCUUUAAG